rnacentral:rRNA from 1 species
CUCUGAUCCAGCCAUGCCGCGUGCAGGAAGACUGCCCUAUGGGUUGUAAACUGCUUUUAUACAGGAAGAAACCCCCCUACGUGUAGGGGGCUGACGGUACUGUAAGAAUAAGGAUCGGCUAACUCCGUGCCAGCAGCCGCGGUAAUACGGAGGAUCCAAGCGUUAUCCGGAAUCAUUGGGUUUAAAGGGUCCGUAGGUGGAUAAUUAAGUCAGAGGUGAAAUCCUGCAGCUCAACUGUAGAACUGCCUUUGAUACUGGUUAUCUUGAAUUAUUGUGAAGUAGUUAGAAUAUGUAGUGUAGCGGUGAAAUGCAUAGAUAUUACAUAGAAUACCGAUUGCGAAGGCAGA